UGGACCAAAGCCCAGACGUGGAACAAACAUGACGGUUUGUUGCAAGGUUCGGUAACUCGCGGAAAUUGCAUGUCUCGCUAGUCGGCAUCAAUGUCCAUGCUCAUCGAAACUCAAAUAUUUUUCUAGGAAGCUAAAUCCAGCAAAACGGAGAUUCUCCACACAGAUUUGUGGGUUUUGUCAGUUAAGAAAAUUAAUCCGUUAAAAACUCUGCCACGCGUAUCUUAUAAAGGCCGCAAACGGGCCUGCGACACGAUCACUUUCUAAAGGAUCGGAUUGAUACCAAACACGCUGCAAUGACCCGAUCCAAUACAUUCAUGCUGCUGUUGUUGGUAUCAUUCUGUGCCUGUGCCAUGGGCUACCCGUUCAAGUCGUUUGGACCACAGGAAUCUAAAUUAAAAGAGAUUCCCGAAGGUUACAAAGCGGAGCGCUUUAUGGAGGUGUGUGAAAUAUGUGGGAUGUACUACGGAAGCCACACUACCUACAUGUGCCUCCAUGACACGACGUUCAAAACAUUUAAAGGUUGUUCAAUCGCCGUCGAGUGAUCAUGCACGUGAUCAUGACGUCAGAGGGACACGUGGUCUGUGAACUAAAGUUACAUGACGUCGAUGUUGUCAGACAGAACAUCUAAAUAAAUUGCUCUGUGUAA